rnacentral:tRNA from 4 species
UAGAGGUUCUUGUAGUUGAA